ACUGCUCAGUUAACACGUGGAUAACCUGCCCUUGGGUCCGGCAUAACCCCGGGAAACUGGGGAUAAUUCCGGAUAACGCAUAUAUGCUGGAAUGCUUUCUGCGUAAAAUGGAUUCGUCUGCCCAAGGAUGGGUCUGCGGCCUAUCAGGUAGUAGUGGGUGUAAUGUACCUACUAGCCUACGACGGGUACGGGUUGUGAGAGCAAGAGCCCGGAGAUGGAUUCUGAGACAUGAAUCCAGGCCCUACGGGGCGCAGCAGGCGCGAAAACUUUACAAUGCGGGAAACCGUGAUAAGGGGACACCGAGUGCCAGCAUCAUAUGCUGGCUGUCCAGGUGUGUAAAAUACACCUGUUAGCAAGGGCCGGGCAAGACCGGUGCCAGCCGCCGCGGUAACACCGGCGGCCCGAGUGGUGAUCGUGAUUAUUGGGUCUAAAGGGUCCGUAGCCGGUUUGGUCAGUCCUCCGGGAAAUCUGAUAGCUUAACUAUUAGGCUUUCGGAGGAUACUGCCAGACUUGGAACCGGGAGAGGUAAGAGGUACUACAGGGGUAGGAGUGAAAUCUUGUAAUCCCUGUGGGACCACCUGUGGCGAAGGCGUCUUACCAGAACGGGUUCGACGGUGAGGGACGAAAGCUGGGGGCACGAACCGGAUUAGAUACCCGGGUAGUCCCAGCCGUAAACGAUGCUCGCUAGGUGUCAGGCAUGGCGCGACCGUGUCUGGUGCCGCAGGGAAGCCGUGAAGCGAGCCACCUGGGAAGUACGGCCGCAAGGCUGAAACUUAAAGGAAUUGGCGGGGGAGCAC
rnacentral:rRNA from 1 species